AGAAAUUUAGUUAAUAUUAUAACAUUAAUAUGUCAUAUUAAAAUAAUUAAUUAUAUAAUAAUUUCUA
rnacentral:tRNA from 1 species